ACUCGGUUGAUUGGGCUGCCCCCUGGUUGCUUAGCGGCUGAGGAAGCGCCAUCCUGUUCCCCUUUCAGGGCUGUGGGGACCGGAAGGUGAAACAGCGCUGUUGAAGACAGCCCACCAGAGGAGCCCAGGCCAUCAAAGUCAAAUGUGAACUUAAGUUCUCUGUGGCAGAUUGCAGCGCUGGUAAAAUGGCUCAUGACUCACAUAUCACUUUGAAUGCAAUCUAUGGACCUUGUUUGGAUCCUGAUUGAAAUGAGUCAACUGCAAUCUAAAAAAAAAAAUAAAAAUGAAACCACCAGGUAAAUUUUAACACUGGCUAAACAUGAGAUGAUGUUAAGGUAUUACUAUUUUAGUGACAUAAUGGUAUUGCUGUUGUGUUAAAAUGUUCUCAUCUCUUUAGAGGUACGUAAAAAAGUAUCUUAUUUAAGUUUAAUCAUCCAUUUCUUCCAUAAGAAAGACAGAGGAGACACUCCCAAUAGGGUCCCUGUGCCACAAUCCAUCCUCAGUUCCAGAUGACCCAGAUCAUGAAUACAUGCACGAGCACCAGGAAUGCUCAGAGAGGUC